CGUGUAGGCGGUACCAUAAGUCAGAUGUGAAAGCCCUAGGCUUAACCUAGGAGGUGCAUUUGAUACUGUGGAACUAGAGAUCGAGAGAGGAAAGUGGAAUUACGAGUGUAGAGGUGAAAUUCGUAGAUAUUCGUAAGAACACCAGUGGCGAAGGCGACUUUCUGGCUCGAUACUGACGCUAAGGCGCGAAAGCGUGGGGAGCAAACAGGAUUAGAUACCCUGGUAGUCCACGCUGUAAACGAUGAGUGCUAGAUGUUGGUGGAGGAAUCCAUCAGUGUCGCAGCUAACGCAUUAAGCACUCCGCCUGGGGAGUACGGUCGCAAGAUUAAA
rnacentral:rRNA from 1 species